GACGAACGCUGGCGGCGUGCUUAACACAUGCAAGUCGAACGAAGAGCGAUGGAAGCUUGCUUCUAUCAAUCUUAGUGGCGAACGGGUGAGUAACGCGUAAUCAACCUGCCCUUCAGAGGGGGACAACAGUUGGAAACGACUGCUAAUACCGCAUACGAUCUAAUCUCGGCAUCGAGGAUAGAUGAAAGGUGGCCUCUACAUGUAAGCUAUCACUGAAGGGGGGGAUUGCGUCUGAUUAGCUAGUUGGAGGGGUAACGGCCCACCAAGGCGAUGAUCAGUAGCCGGUCUGAGAGGAUGAACGGCCACAUUGGGACUGAGACACGGCCCAGACUCCUACGGGAGGCAGCAGUGGGGAAUCUUCCGCAAUGGACGAAAGUCUGACGGAGCAACGCCGCGUGAGUGAUGACGGCCUUCGGGUUGUAAAGCUCGGUUAAUCGGGAAGAAAGGCCUUCUUGCGAAUAGUGAGAAGGAUUGACGGUACCGGAAGAGAAAGCCACGGCUAACUACGUG
rnacentral:rRNA from 1 species